rnacentral:tRNA from 1 species
GAUCUGUUAGCUCAGUCGGCAGAGCACCUGCCUUUUAAGCAGGGUGUCCGGGGUUCGAAUCCCCGACAGAUCACCA